rnacentral:rRNA from 1 species
UACGUAGGGGGCAAGCGUUGUCCGGAUUUAUUGGGCGUAAAGCGCGCGUAGGUGGCCUCAUAAGUCCGCUGUGAAAGUCAAAGGCUCAACCUUUGAAAGCCGGUGGAUACUGUGAGGCUAGAGUACGGAAGAGGCGAGUGGAAUUCCUGGUGUAGCGGUGGAAUGCGCAGAUAUCAGGAGGAACACCAAUAGCGAAGGCAGCUCGCUGGGACGUUACUGACACUGAGGCGCGAAAGCGCGGGGAGCGAACAGG